CCUACGGGGUGCAGCAGUGAGGAAUAUUGGUCAAUGGCCGGAAGGCUGAACCAGCCAUGCCGCGUGAAGGUCAGUGCCCUAUGGGCGUUAAACUUCUUUUGUGCGGGAGCAAUAAUGGUCACGUGUGGCCAGACGAGAGUACCGUACGCAUAAGCAUCGGCUAACUCCGUGCCAGCAGCCGCGGUAAUACGGGGGAUGCAAGCGUUAUCCGGGUUUAUUGGGUUUAAAGGGUGCGUAGGCUGUGAGGUAAGGCAGCGGUGAAAUGCCCCCGCUCAACGGGGUGAAGUGCCAUUGAUACUGCCUUGCUUGAAUGCGGAUGCCGUGGGAGGAAUGUGUGGUGUAGCGGUGAAAUGCAUAGAUAUCACACAGAACACCGAUUGCGAAGGCAUCUCACGAAUCCGCGAUUGACGCUGAUGCACGAAAGCGUGGGUAUCAAACAGGAUUAGAUACCCUGGUAGUC
rnacentral:rRNA from 1 species